UUUGAGAGAGUUUGGGGCACGUUUGCUUAGGAUAUAAUGUAAACUAUUCAUGAAAUGAGGUUUUCGAUGUUAAAUUUAAAUGGCCACAAAAUCUGUAAUCUGGUGCAGAACUGUAUCAAACUUUGUCACUAUCUAUAAUAUAAUAUAGUCAAUCA